GAUAGUGUGGCCGAGUGGUCAAUGGCGCUGGUUUGAGGCACCAGUCUCUACGGAGGCAAGGGUUCGAAUCCCUUCACUGUCA
rnacentral:tRNA from 1 species